UACGAAGGGGGCUAGCGUUGCUCAGAAUUACUGGGCGUAAAGGGCGCGUAGGCGGAUAGUUUAGUCAGAGGUGAAAGCCCAGGGCUCAACCUUGGAACUGCCUUUGAUACUGGCUAUCUUGAGUUCGGGAGAGGUGAGUGGAAUGCCGAGUGUAGAGGUGAAAUUCGUAGAUAUUCGGCGGAACACCAGUGGCGAAGGCGACUCACUGGCCCGAUACUGACGCUGAGGCGCGAAAGCGUGGGGAGCAAACAGG
rnacentral:rRNA from 1 species